rnacentral:rRNA from 1 species
UCGCCGCUCGCGACGUCCUGAGAAGUCCACUGAACCUUAUCAUUUAGAGGAAGGAGAAGUCGUAACAAGGUUUCCGUAGGUGAACCUGCGGAAGGAUCAUUGUGGAAGACCCCAUAGAGGAGGACUGUGAACGUGUCAACCAAGCGGCGUCGUGCCGGGGGCCUCCCCUCGCUCGACUCCUGCCCUCGCCCUUGCAGCGGGGGCCGUCGACCAACAACCGGCGCAAUGGGCGCCAAGGAAGCUUGAAAAACGCGCGGGCCGUCCGGACACUGCUCCGGUCGGGCUGUGCUUUGUCAGAUUUGAAAUGACUCUCGGCAACGGAUAUCUCGGCCCUCGCAUCGAUGAAGAACGUAGCGAAAUGCGAUACGUGGUGUGAAUUGCAGAAUCCCGCGAACCAUUGAGUCUUUGAACGCAAGUUGCGCCCGAGGCCUUCCGGCCGAGGGCACGCCUGCCUGGGCGUCACGCCAUCGUCGCCAGCGCUCCCCCGCCCUCCUCGUGCGGGUGGGGCGGCCUGUGCGGACAUUGGCCCCCCGCGCUCCUUGGGCGCGGUCGACCGAAGAUCGGGCCGUCGCCGCUGACCGGACACGACGGGUGGUGGUGCUGCGAGCGAACCGAACGUCGUGCCCGGGCCGUGCUUUGACGAGGAGCCCCGGAGGAUCCCCCACCCCUCGMAAUGCGACCCCAGGUCAGGCGGGGCCACCCGCCGAGUUUAAGCAUAUAAAUAAGCGGAGGAGAAGAAACUUACGAGGAUUCCCAUAGUAACGGCGAGCGAACCGGGAUCAGCCCAGCUUGAGAAUCG